rnacentral:rRNA from 1 species
UACGUAGGGGGCAAGCGUUGUCCGGAAUUAUUGGGCGUAAAGAGCUUGUAGGCGGUUUGUCGCGUCUGCCGUGAAAAUUCGAGGCUCAACCUCGAACUUGCGGUGGGUACGGGCAGACUAGAGUGUGGUAGGGGAGACUGGAAUUCCUGGUGUAGCGGUGAAAUGCGCAGAUAUCAGGAGGAACACCAGCGGCGAAGGCGGCGCUCUGGGCCGGUACUGACGCUGAGGAGCGAAAGCGUGGGUAGCAAACAGG